rnacentral:rRNA from 1 species
GACGGAGGAUGCAAGUGUUAUCCGGAAUCACUGGGCGUAAAGCGUCUGUAGGUGGUUCGAAAAGUCCACUGUUAAAAAUUGAAGCUUAACUUCAAAGAUGCCGUGGAAGCUUUCAAACUAGAGUGUGGUAGGGGUAGAGGGAAUUUCCAGUGGAGCGGUGAAAUGCGUAGAUAUUGGAAAGACCACCGAUGGCGAAGGCACUCUACUGGGCCAUUACUGACACUGAGAGACGAAAGCUAGGGGAGCAAAUGGG